UCGAAUUGAUGUUUCUUUACCGUCAAAAUUAGCUACGUUAUCGAUAAACUUAAUGAGGUAGUGACCAAACUAUUGGUACACUAACGUUAAAAAGAUUGACAAUGCUGACAAACUUUCAUGUGUCGAUAUUUAUGUUUUAUACCGAUAAUAUUGAAAAUAAUUGUAAUAAUAUUAAACAAAAUAUGUCCAUGCACCAUUUCGAUUGGGCGAAAAGUAGUCGUUUCUUCAAAGUCAGAACAGAAAAAAAAAGAUGUAUAGACGGACGUCUUGAUAGUAUUUGUCUAUAUGUUACACAAAGCUGGUUCUUUAAUAAACGUUUGUAUCAGGG
rnacentral:lncRNA from 1 species